AUUCUUUCGCAGAGGCAUAUAUCGUAGUCUAUGAGGUUUAUCCGAGACGUGAUCUUUGCUGGUUGAAAACUUUCCCAAUACCCCGCGGCUGGAUGACUUGAAAUAUAGUCAGCCUUGGCAAUUUUUGACGGUCUCUUAGGAGC